GCGGUUGGCGCGACCCCCGGUUCGCAAUCUCGCGUCGGGGGCGUGACAACUUUUAUGGUAUCAGAGCAUAAGUGGAUAAAAUCUAAGACGAAGAAUCUGACAUAAGAUGAGUGUAGGUGGGUAAACAUUAAGGGCAUUGGACGUGAAUCCAUGUCAAUUGCAUUGUAAGCUACUUUCAAGAUUUUCUAUUAAGCCUUGUGAUAGAUUAUGUAUGAGAAGGUUACUAGGAAAUUAUGAUUGAAUUUACUUAUGAGGUUUGAUACAUUAUGGAAGAUUGGGCAAUCUAUGAAUCAAGUUAUAAUUAGUUAGAUUUGGAUCUAAAUUAAGUACAAAAGGAUUGGCCAUGGAAUAUUAUCAUGCAUUGUGAUUAUUUAUUAUUUAAGUGAACUUGUAAACUCAAAAAAUUGAUAUGGAGGUAUACUAUGAUUUUGCUUAAUUUAGAAGAUAAUUUUUUUAGAGGCAAAUUAAGAUCCAUUUAUAUAAAGUUGUUUAAGAUUUGGGCUAUGAAACCUUUUUACAGUGCUUGAUUAAAAUAUUCUUCGAGGAUUGAAAACUGUAUGUGGAUCAUGUAUGAAACUCCUGUGUAGAUGGAGAAUAUAUUUGGGAUAAAAUUCUAGAAUUAAUUUAAAAUUACAAUAUAGAUUGGGAUUAUGAUUGGAAGUAAUUUAGUAAAUUAUGAGAAUACUGGUUGUUUAAAUUAUUUUAAGAUGAUCAACGAUAUUAACUCUAUGAUUGGAAAAUAUUUUCUGAUGGGUUUCCUUGUUAAGGAGAAUUUCGUUGUCAAAGAAAAGAAUAGUAUUUUUGAUUUUGACUGGAUAUUAUCAUGUUAUUAAUAGGUUCUUCUAUCUGUUGUAAAAAAGAGAGAGAGAGAGAAAUCUGGCAUUCCAAGUCUAGGAUUAAUGGUUCUUGCAUUAGCUGAUCCUGGAUUUGGAAUGUUUUAGCCUAGAUUUCUUUUCUCUUAAUUUGUAGCUUAUGCUUUUGACAGAAUUAAGAAAUAAUUAUCAAUCUUGAAGAAAUAAUUUUAUUGGAGAUUGUAAAGUAUUCAUCUCGGUGGAUUAUUAUUAAUUUAAAUUAUCGUCUUUGGAUCCAAAUAAUAGAUCUUGUUCAUGUCUAUCAGAGACUAUGUGAUGUAUAUAAAACUUCAAUUCAAAGUUUGGAUUUAAGCCGAUCUAGGGUCUUUUGUCAAUAUUGUUGCGGUUGCUGAUAAAAAUCUAGAUUUGCAUAAAGAAUUUGUAUUUUAGAGGCUUACAUGGUUAUGAUGAAGGAUUUUUGAUAAAUGCUAAAGAUCUCGAUGAAGAAAACAUUAGGAGAGAGAUGGUUGAGUUUGUUUUACUCAUUUGUAUUGAUUUAACGCCUUCUAAUUUGGACGAGCAUUGAGAGAAUUCUUCUGGUUGAUUUUACGUGGAGUUUGACUUAGAAUCCUCUAGUUGAACUGAUAAGAGAAUUAAGAUUCAAUCAAUUUUGACCCGAGGGUGAAUCUAGACGGAUGGCUUGAGGUAAAGUAGGGGACGAGAAUCAAAGAUUUCUUUUUAGGCUUUACGUGGAAAUUGAAAUUUUGGAUCUCUUUAGUUCAUAAUACAAAAUAGUAUUUUGAUCAAAAAUUAUUAGUGAAUCCAAAAAAUUUUGGUAGUUUGAAUCAGAGUGCGCAACGAAAGCGUAGUGGUCUGAACUAUUUUUCUAAGUUGGUCAGAAGUAUUAUUCCUUUAAUUCGGCAAGUUUUAAUAACAAAAGACUUGAUUUGAUUUUGAAUUUUUGGAUGUCGCUGCACUAUCUUAGGUUCUCUAAUUUUAUGUCAUGCUAAGGAAAUGAUUAACAUCUUGAGACUAGAAUUAAUAGAUCAUCGAUUUUGAUUUUGGAUCUGGAAUAUUUUGGUGUAGACCUAUUUCCUCCUAAAUCUGAAGCUUGUACUUCUUCAAUUAAUAUCAACCCUCUAUUUGAAAGAACUUGAGGUUGUCAAGUGACUUUGAUGAAUAUUCCACUAGGGAUCGAUUAAUCAAGAGUAGUUGAUAUUUUGACAAAGAAACUUGAUGUUCUUAUUCAAAAUUAAGACGUUGAUUUUUAUUUAUGAGAGAGAGAAGUUUGAUUUACAUCAUCUAUAAAAGAACCAAAUCUGGAGGUAUUGGACCUUAUUCUUAUGAUAAGAUUAAAUUAUAUUGAUAAGUAGAACUAUUGGAAGACUGAGGUUAGUCUUCUAGUAGAGAAGAAUGUUGUUGGUUCUAUGAAUAAUCUGAAGGUAGCUAUGUAAUUUUCAUCAGUGGGGUUUUCUAUUGUUGACAAUUCUUGGGAGAAUCUUGAGCAUCUUAAAUUUAGUAUUCAUGGAUUGAUGGUUACUUGGUUAGACUUAGAUCUGGAAAGUUUUAACAUGGAUCUCCUAUUCCUAAUUCUAACAUUGUUAAUCUGGCUAUUUGAAAGGGCUUGAGGUUUUAUAACACAAAGGUUGAUCAUUAUAUCAUGGAAAAAAAAAUGAGGAGCAUUUGAUACUAAAGCUUUCUCCUACUUACAUUUAACCGAUUAAAUUUCUAUGUAGAAUUAAUCAGGAGCAAUUAAUUUCUUGAAAAAAAAAA